UACGUAGGUGGCAAGCGUUAUCCGGAUUUACUGGGUGUAAAGGGCGUGUAGGCGGGAAAGCAAGUCAGAUGUGAAAACCACGGGCUCAACCUGUGGCCUGCAUUUGAAACUGUUUUUCUUGAGUACUGGAGAGGUAGGCGGAACUCCUAGUGUAGCGGUGAAAUGCGUAGAUAUUAGGAGGAACACCAGUGGCGAAGGCGGCCUACUGGACGGUGACUGACGCUGAGGCUCGAAAGCGUGGGGAGCAAACAGG
rnacentral:rRNA from 1 species